GACGAACGCUGGCGGCGUGCCUAAUACAUGCAAGUAGAACGCUGAAGAGAGGAGCUUGCUCUUCUUGGAUGAGUUGCGAACGGGUGAGUAACGCGUAGGUAACCUGCCUUGUAGCGGGGGAUAACUAUUGGAAACGAUAGCUAAUACCGCAUAACAAUAGGUGACACAUGUCAUUUAUUUGAAAGGGGCAAUUGCUCCACUACAAGAUGGACCUGCGUUGUAUUAGCUAGUAGGUGAGGUAACGGCUCACCUAGGCGACGAUACAUAGCCGACCUGAGAGGUUGAUCGGCCACACUGGGACUGAGACACGGCCCAGACUCCUACGGGAGGCAGCAGUAGGGAAUCUUCGGCAAUGGGGGCAACCCUGACCGAGCAACGCCGCGUGAGUGAAGAAGGUUUUCGGAUCGUAAAGCUCUGUUGUAAGUCAAGAACGAGUGUGAGAGUGGAAAGUUCACACUGUGACGGUAGCUUACCAGAAAGGGACGGCUAACUACGUG
rnacentral:rRNA from 1 species